CUGUGAGGGGUUUGGGGAUCCGUGAGGGGCUCAGGGAUCCGUGAGGGGUUCGGGGAUCCGUGAGGGGCUCAGGGAUCUGUGAGGGGUUCAGGGAUCCGUGAGGGGCUCUGGAAUCUGUGAGGGGUUCAGGAAUCCAUGAGGUGUUCAGGGAUCCGUGAGGGGCUCAGGAAUCCGUGAGGGGUUCAGGAAUCCAUGAGGUGUUCAGGGAUCCGUGAGGGGCUCAGGAAUCCGUGAGGGGUUCAGGAAUCCGUGAGGGGUUCAGGAAUCCGUGAGGGGUUCAGGGAUCUAUGAGGUGUUCAGGAAUCCAUGAGGUGUUCAGGGAUCCGUGAGGUGUUCAGGGGUCCGUGAGGGGUUCAGGGAUCCGUGAGGGGUUCAGGGAUCUGUGAGGGGUUCAGGGAUCCGUGAGGGGUUCAGGGAUCCGUGAGUGGCUCAGGAAUCCGUGAGGGGUUCAGGAAUCCGUGAGUGGCUCAGGAAUCCGUGAGGGGUUCAGGAAUCCAUGAGGGAUUCAGGGAUCCGUGAGGCGCUCCGGAAUCUGUGAGGGGCUCGGGGAUCCGUGAGGGGCUCAGGGAUCCAUGACGGGCUCAGGGAUCUGUGAGGGGCUUGGCUGUCCAUGAGGGGUUCAGGAAUUCAUGAGGGGCUCGGAUAUCCGUGAGGGGCUCGGGGAUCCGAGAGGGGCUCGGAUAUCCAUGAGGGGCUCGGAUAUCCGAGAGGGGCUCGGAUAUCCAUGAGGGGCUCAGCUAUCCAUGAGGGGCUCGGGGAUCCGAGAGGGGCUCGGAUAUCCAUGAGGGGCUCAGCUAUCCAUGAGGAGCUCAGCUAUCCGUGAGAGGCUCGGGGAUCCACGAGGGGCUCAGCUAUCCGUGAGGGGCUUGGGGAUCCGAGAGGGGCUCGGGAUCUAUGAGGGGCUCAGCUAUCCAUGAGGGGCUCGGGGAUCUAUGAGGGGUUCAGCUAUCCAUGAGGGGCUCGGGGAUCUAUGAGGGGUUCAGCUAUCCAUGAGGGGCUCGGGGAUCCGAGAGGGGCUCCGCCCGGCUCCAGCCCCGGGGCCAGGGAGAGCAGCGGGCUCGGAUCGCUGAGCACAGCCAGCCCGUGUUUGCUGGCGCACCCUCACCCACCCAUGCACCCAGCCGAAGGGAGCAAGCUAAACCAUCACACAGCCCUCGUGUGCAUAAAUAUACACACAAACAUAUGCAUAUAUAUAUAUAUAUAAUAUAUAUAUAUAUACACACACUCGUAUAUGCGACAAGCAGCUGAGACCUAAACAAGCAUGCUAUAAUGUGGAGUUAUACCAACAGCGAGCAACAGAUGGACAAGACCAAGGAUUCAGUUGCCACCUUUUCCCAUCAGACACACAUGUUUAUUACUAAUCUGUUGGUACAGACAGUUUACAGCAAAUACAUGAGCUUUAUGAGGCAUGCAGAUAAGCUCAGUACAUACUUCCAUGGAAAAGAUUUGCUUAACCCUCCUGCCUGAACCCUCUGCAAGAGCAAAUUCUUUUUACUUCAUGACCUGAGACUGAUGUAGCCAUUCUGGAGGCAGUCACCACCUUCUCUGUACAGAAGCAGUAGGGUGAUAUAUUUACUUCCAGAGAACAGGAUGCCCUGGAAGAACCAAGGUGGUGGUAGUGGAUGCUGUCUUAAUUGUUUGCAAUAUUCCUGACACAACAUUUUCGAAAGGACAGAGGAGAUGAGGUCUGCUGUUGUGUUUUCUUCCCUUCUUCUUGCUCCAGGCCGGUGGGAGCCGGUGGGAUAGAGCGAGCAGUAGCAUCUGUUCCAAGAGCACAUGGGCAAACCCAGGUAAAAGACUCCCAUUGUGUGAAGUGAGGAUAGGAGAGAACUGAGAGACAGCAAGCUGGGAAUUCAUAGAAUUAAAUGUAUGGACAGUGAGUGUCUUGAGUGGAGUUAGGAGUGGCCACGUAGUCAAAAAAGACAGAAAGAAAGGCUGGUUUUUGGGACUUAGGAGAGUUUUAUUGUAUCCCAGAAGGUCACCAAAAAUGACAUCACUAAGAAUAAGGACCUACAGCCUGCUCUGCAAGCAUCUAUGAGGAGAGGAAACAUCUGAACAUACUCUGGUUAUAAUCUGUCUCACUCUCAUUUCCUCCUUGUCUAAAGCCACCUUGUUUCAUUUGGGGCUGUGAUGAAAUACAGCUUUAGAGUUUAGAAUUCUGUGGUUUUUUUGUGAUGCUUGUGGUAGGAAAAUGGCUCUAAGCAGUUCCACUGCAGAGCUCUGGCUGACCUACAGAUCCUGUAACAGCAAGGAAGAUACAUGGGCUCAUGGUGGACGAGGAAAACUGCUGUCCUUGGUCUGGACAUGACCCAGAGUAGAGAGGCAAAAAGAAAAAAAAGAAAAGAAAAAAGAAAAAGUAAUAAGCAGAAAUGAGAAUAUGAUAAACCUAAAGAAGGUGUGUGGAAUAUUUUUCCUGGUUGUGUUGCCUUUAUCACCAAAAUUUGCCUGACUUCUCUAGCUAUAUGUUUGUAAGUAUGAUUCUGUCAGAUCUCUUAAUAAAAUUCUAGAUUUCAUCCUCCA